AUGGAUAUAUCUAUAUAGAGCUAGGCUGGUAUACUAUCAGUAGCACGGAAGCCUCCGUGCUACCAAGUUGUUUUCAAUGAUGCGGCUUUCAAAUCGACGAUCGGCUCCGUUAGACUUCAUUUACACUAUUGAAAGUAUUUGAAAAAUAAAUUUCAUAAUUUUUCGAUAUCAUUUACCCAUCAAACUAGUAGUCUAAAAAUGAACGGCUGAAAAUAAAAAUCUCAAAAAAAAUGAUGAUAGAAGACUUGAAUUUAAGAUCAGAGGUACUGUUCUUACUUUGAAUAGUAAAAAAAAUUUCUAUAAAAAUUUCAUCUGAUUUGGAUUGUUUUACACCGUUAAAUUUACAAAUGCAUCACAUCUACCAUUAAAAUUGUCAAUUCUGAGGCCUUUUGAUCACUAGCCAAAUGAUGUCGAAAAAUUCUGAAAUAUAGUUUCCAAAUACUUUCAAUAGUAUAGAUCAAGUCUAACGGAGCCGAUCGUCGAUUUGAAAGUCGCAUCAUUGAAAACAACUUGGUAGCACGGAAGCCUUCGUGCUACCGAUAGUAUAGUAGCCGGACUCUAUAUAUAUAUAUAUAGAGUUGAGCUAGAAUACUCUCGAUAGUAAACAGAGCAUUUUACUAUCGAGUUGUUUUCGAUGAGAGAGCUUCCAAAUUGACGAUCGGCUCUGUUAAAUAUGAUCUAAACUAUUUAAACUAUCUAGAAAUCAAAUUUCACGCACUUUCGAUAUUGUUCUUUUAUUCAUCUAGUGAACAAAAAAUGAAUGGUUGAAAAUGAAUAUUCUUUCAAAAAUGACGAUAGGAGUCUUGUAAUCAAGAUCAAGAGUAUAGAUCUUGUUUUAAAUAGUUUAAAGAAUUUUCUAACAAAAAUUCAAUUGAUUUGGAUAUCUUUACACCGUUAAACGAGAAAACGUCUCUUAUCCACCAUUAAAAUUACAAAUUUUGAAACCCUUUGAUCAUUAGGCAAAUGAUGUCGAAAAGAUUUGAAAUUUGAUUUCUAAACACUUUAAGUGGUAUAGAUCAUGUUCAACGGAGCCGAUCGUCAAUUUGGAAGCUCUAUCAUCGAAAA
rnacentral:lncRNA from 1 species